rnacentral:lncRNA from 1 species
CUUCAGGACUGGGACCCCCACGGGAAACAACAGUAUUAAAGCUCCUAGAAGGAAAAUGCUUACUAGACCUUAUUCCUGCAUGGAAAAGCUAAGCUAAUGCAACAAAAGCACUCCUGUAUUUCUAACUAAAGUUAUUUCUAAUGUAUACGCUUAAAGUGGUGGGAGUCCAUCUAUUGCUGAAAUAAUUUCAGAGGACUGAAAAUUACUUCAAAACCUGUGGUUAAAAAGGCACUGCAUGGAACACACAUAGGUGGUAAUGCUACUAGUGAAGCAGAUACAAAACCAAAACGAAGCGGAAACGGCCUCUUCCACUCUGUAGACUAAACUGCCCAGACCUGCACCUUUGGAGAACUGCACACAGCCACAGAAAUCAGAUAUUGAAUGCCCUGCACCAUCUGCUCACAGUCUCUGGGGUGGGAAGUUCCUGAAGUAAUCUGACAAAAUUGCAAACAACGAUUAAAUUUGUGAAAAUCUCAACACAACUGACAGCAAUCUGCAAACUACAAAAUGUGACAAUUGAACAAAAGAAGAUUACAGAUUUGGCAAGCACACAAAACGUCCCAGAUAUUCUGGCAUACCAGAAACACCAGUAA